CGUCAUUUAUAGACCAUCAAGCCCUGCUUGGCAUUGGGUAUCGUCCCUGCGGGACGGGCCCUAAAGACCUUGGCGGUGGCCGUGAGCCUCAAGCGUAGUAGUUAUUCUUCCCGCUUACAGAGUCUCGCGACCGCUCGCUGCUAAAGCCCAUCAAACUCAAGGUUGACCUCGGAUCAGGUAGGGAUACCCGCUGAACUUAA
rnacentral:misc_RNA from 1 species